rnacentral:rRNA from 1 species
UACGUAGGGUGCAAGCGUUAAUCGGAAUUACUGGGCGUAAAGCGUGCGCAGGCGGUUCUGUAAGACAGAUGUGAAAUGCCCGGGCUUAACCUGGGAACUGCAUUUGUGACUGCAAAGCUAGAGUGUGUCAGAGGGGGGUAGAAUUCCACGUGUAGCAGUGAAAUGCGUAGAUAUGUGGAGGAAUACCGAUGGCGAAGGCAGCCCCCCUGGGAUAACACUGACGCUCAU